UACGUAGGGUGCAAGCGUUGUCCGGAAUUUAUUGGGCGUAAAGAGCUCGUAGGCGGUCUGUCGCGUCGGCUGUGAAAUCCCGGAGCUCAACUCCGGGUCUGCAGUCGAUACGGGCAAACUGGAGUACUGCAGGGGAGACUGGAAUUCCUGGUGUAGCGGUGAAAUGCGCAGAUAUCAGGAGGAACACCGGUGGCGAAGGCGGGACUCUGGGCCGAUACUGACGCUGAGGAGCGAAAGCGUGGGGAGCAAACAGG
rnacentral:rRNA from 1 species